GAUGAACGCUGGCGGCGUGCCUAAUACAUGCAAGUCGAGCGAAUGGAUUGAGAGCUUGCUCUUAUGAAGUUAGCGGCGGACGGGUGAGUAACACGUGGGUAACCUGCCCAUAAGACUGGGAUAACUCCGGGAAACCGGGGCUAAUACCGGAUAACAUUUUGAACCGCAUGGUUCGAAAUUGAAAGGCGGCUUCGGCUGUCACCUAUGGAUGGACCCGCGUCGCAUUAGCUAGUUGGUGAGGUAACGGCUCACCAAGGCAACGAUGCGUAGCCGACCGGAGAGGGUGGUCGGCCACACUGGGACUGAGACACGGCCCAGACUCCUACGGGAGGCAGCAGUAGGGAAGCUUCCGCAAUGGACGAAAGUCUGACGGAGCAACGCCGCGUGAGUGAUGAAGGCUUUCGGGUCGUAAAACUCUGUUGUUAGGGAAGAACAAGUGCUAGUUGAAUAAGCUGGCACCUUGACGGUACCUAACCAGAAAGCCACGGCUAACUACGUGCCAGCAGCCGCGGUAA
rnacentral:rRNA from 1 species